rnacentral:rRNA from 1 species
AUUGAACGCUGGCGGCAGGCCUAACACAUGCAAGUCGAGCGGAUGAAGGGAGCUUGCUCCUGGAUUCAGCGGCGGACGGGUGAGUAAUGCCUAGGAAUCUGCCUGGUAGUGGGGGAUAACGUCCGGAAACGGGCGCUAAUCCCGCAUCCGUCCUGAGGGAGAAAGGGGGGGAUCUUCGGACCUCACGCUAUCAGAUGAGCCUAGGUCGGAUUAGCUAGUUGGUGGGGUAAAGGCCUACCAAGGCGACGAUCCGUAACUGGUCUGAGAGGAUGAUCAGUCACACUGGAACUGAGACACGGUCCAGACUCCUACGGGAGGCAGCAGUGGGGAAUAUUGGACAAUGGGCGAAAGCCUGAUCCAGCCAUGCCGCGUGUGUGAAGAAGGUCUUCGGAUUGUAAAGCACUUUAAGUUGGGAGGAAGGGCAGUAAGUUAAUACCUUGCUGUUUUGACGUUACCAACAGAAUAAGCACCGGCUAACUUCGUG